rnacentral:rRNA from 1 species
UACGUAGGGUGCAAGCGUUGUCCGGAAUUAUUGGGCGUAAGAGCGUGUAGGCGGCCCGAUUAGUCCGCUGUGAAAGUCCAGGGCUCAACCCUGGAAUGCCGGUGGAUACUGUCGGGCUAGAGUCCGGAAGGGGCGAGUGGAAUUCCUGGUGUAGCGGUGAGAUGCGCAGAUAUCAGGAGGAACACCAAUGGCGAAGGCAGCUCGCUGGGACGUGACUGACGCUGAGACGCGAAAGCGUGGGGAGCAAACAGG